GAUGAACGCUGGCGGCGUGCCUAAUACAUGCAAGUCGAACGAGAACUAUUGUAGCAAUACGAUAGUUCUAGUGGCGAACGGGUGAGUAACGCGUUGGUGAUCUGCCCCGAAGUGGAGGAUAACAGUCCGAAAGGACUGCUAAUACUCCAUGUGGCUGCAAGAGUUAGAGGUCUUGCUACCAAAGAAGCAAUUCGCUUCGGGAGGAGCCUGCGUCCCAUCAGCUAGUUGGUAAGGUAAUGGCUUACCAAGGCUAAGACGGGUAGGGGACCUGAGAGGGU
rnacentral:rRNA from 1 species